CCUACGGGCGGCAGCAGUGGGGAAUAUUGCGCAAUGGGCGAAAGCCUGACGCAGCGACGCCGCGUGAGGGAUGAAGGUCUUCGGAUCGUAAACCUCUGUCAGCAGGGAAGAACGGUCACUGUGCUAAUCAUCAGUGAAUUGACGUUACCUGCAAAGGAAGCACCGGCUAACUCCGUGCCAGCAGCCGCGGUAAUACGGAGGGUGCGAGCGUUAAUCGGAAUUACUGGGCGUAAAGCGCUCGUAGGCGGUAUGUCAAGUCAAGGGUGAAAUCCCCGCGCUCAACGUGGGAACUGCCUUUGAAACUGGCAAACUGGAGUGUGUGAGAGGAUAGUGGAAUGCCAGGUGUAGGAGUGAAAUCCGUAGAUAUCUGGAGGAACAUCAGUGGCGAAGGCGACUAUCUGGAACAUAACUGACGCUGAGGAGCGAAAGCGUGGGUAGCAAACAGGAUUAGAUACCCGGGUAGUC
rnacentral:rRNA from 1 species